rnacentral:rRNA from 1 species
GACGAACGCUGGCGGCGUGCUUAACACAUGCAAGUCGAACGGAAAGGCCCUGAUUUUGUGGGGUGCUCGAGUGGCGAACGGGUGAGUAACACGUGAGUAACCUGCCCUUGAUUUUGGGAUAACUUCAGGAAACUGGGGCUAAUACAGGAUAGGAGCCCCCGUUGCAUGGUGGGGGUUGGAAAGUCUCGGCGGUCGGGGAUGGACGCGCGGCUUAUCAGCUUGUUGGUGGGGUAGUGGCUUACCGAGGCUUUGAAGGGUAGCCGGCCUGGGAGGGUGACCGGGCUCAUUGGGACUGAGAUAGGGACCAGACUCCUACGGGGGGCAGCAGUGGGGAAUAUGACACAAUGGGCGGAAGCCUGAGGCAGCAACGCCGCGGUCGGGAUGACGGCCUUCGGGUUGUAAACCGCUUUCGCCUGUGACGAAGCGGUAGUGACGGUAAUGGGUAAAGAAGCACCGGCUAACUACGUG